rnacentral:lncRNA from 1 species
AUGGUUCCUUGGGGACAUCCCAGUGUCACCAUGGUGGCCCCUGAGGACACAGUGUCACCUCGAUGGCUCCUUGGGGACAUUUUAUUGUCACCAUGGUGGCCCUUGGGGACAGAUUGUCCUUGUGGUGGCUCCUUGGGGACAUCUCAGUGCCACCGUGGUGACCCUUGGGGACACGGUGCCACCAACCCAGAUCCUUGGGGACACCACUGUCACCGUGGUGGCCCUUGGGGACACCACAUUGUCCUGGUGGUGGCUCCUUGGGGACACCUCAGUGCCACCAUGGUGGCUCCUUGGGGACACCACUGUCACCACAGUGGCCCUUGGGGACACGUUGUGCUGGUGGCGGCUCCUUGGGGACAUCCCAGUGUCACCGUGGUGGCCUUUGGAGACACCACUGUCACCUCGAUGGCUCCUUGGGGACAUCUCAGUGCCACCGUGGUGGCCCCUGGGGACACGUUGUCCUUGUGGUGGCCCUUGAGGACAGCAUCGUGCCACUGUGGUGGCUCCUUGGGGACAUCUCAGUGUCACUGUGGUGGCUCCUUGGGGACAGCACCGUGUGCCCACAGUCUGUCCUGGUGUCACCUGGUGUCCCCUGGUGCCAUCCCGGUGCCACCUGUCCAUGUCCUGGUGCCACCUGGUGCCAUUUUGGUGUCACCUGGUGCCAUCCUGGUGCCAUUCUCGUGUCACCUGUCUGUCCUGGUGCCAUCCUGGUGCCAUCCUGGUGUCACCUGCUGCCAUUUUGGUGUCACCUGCUGCCAUCCCAGUGUCACCUGUCCAUCUUGGUGCCAUCUUGGUGCCAUUUCGGUGUCGCCUGGCCACGUCCUGGGCCACCCUGAUGUCACCUGGUGCCAUCCUGGAGCCAUUUUGGUGUCACCUGUCCAUCUCAGUGCCAUUCAGUGCCACCUGUCCACCCCAGUGUCCCCUGAUGCCAUUUUGGUGCCAUCCUGGUGUCCCCUGGUGCCAUCUUGGUGCCAUUUGGCGUCACCUGGUGCCAUCUCGGUGCCAUCCUGGUGCCACCUGGUGCCAUCCCAGUGUCCCCUGGUGCCAUUUUGGUGGCAUCUUGGUGUCAUUUCGGUGUCACCUGGCCAUGUCCUGGGCCAUCCCAGCGUCCCCUGGUGCCAUCUUGGCUCCAUUUUGGUGUCACCUGGUUCCAUUUGGUGUCACCUGGUGCCAUCCCAGUGUCACCUGUCCAUCUCAGUGCCAUCCUGGUCCCACCUGGUGCCAUCUUGGUGUCAUUUCGGUGUCACCUGUCCGUGUCCUGGGCCAUCCUGGUGUCACCUGGUGCCAUCCUGGUGCCAUUUUGGUGUCACUUGUCCAUCCCAGUGUCCCCUGGUGCCAUUUUGG